UUAUCAUUAUGUGCAUUGCAUCUCUGUACUGCUGCACCCUUCAUGUGCUUUUUUGUUUACCCAUCAGCCGCAAUACGCCGACUCAAUGGUAUGCUCAAAAUUUUGCCACCAUGGGACCCCAUGCCCGAGUUGGCUAUUUAUAUAUUGUUCCUCCUUUUUCCGAAAACCACUCACAUUUUUUCUUUUUAACUCCCUGCUUUCCCAGGACCACCGCCAUUGCUGCGACAACUAACAAAAAUGGAUCUGACACCCCAGCACCCAAAAUCACUCCCCCCACCAAGUACCUGACACUUACCCCUUUCGAACUCCACAGAUUCCUGAAAGAAAAUAGGGUGGGAAGGGUGGGCCUGUUCCAGUCUGUGUAGUCCAGCGAAAAGACAUACAACCUGUGAAUACAGAAGAGAGAGAUUGAAACAAGAUAUGGAAACGCAUUGUAUUUAGGUGGAAUCUAACAUUACUUUCGUGAAUAGUUCCUUUUCUGACUUUGUGAGCCGGCUGAUGAAAUGGAAUAAGAUCAAGCCAAAACGGGAAUUUGUUUCACAUGCCAAACCAACCCUGUUUAGAAUGAGAAGACGCACGGAGGGAUAUAUUUAGAUUUGAUAUCCCCAAAAUAGGGCUAAACAACAUUUGGCAGGGCCGCUGAGUUGGCAGGGAAUUGUGUUACAACAAGGGUGACUUUUUAUACCAUAUGUUGAGUUGUGGAACUAGAAGUUUUUGGCUUAAGCUGCCAAAACUAUUAGCAAUCGACUGGUGCCAAAUGAUGGCAAACAACACAGUAGGGGCUGGCAGUGAGGAGCGGCAAAUGAGCAGACAAUAGGGUAUUGGGUGCAGUUUGCCAUCAGGUGGUCAUUAUCUCUUGGCCUGGCACUGCCAGAUCCCAGCCCUUGAUGGAAACUCUUUCUUGAUAUCAUCUAUUCAGAACUAAACUCCCCUUUGGAACACUAAUUCAAUCUUGGCACUGAGAUACCUAUAAGACAAUUUCAGCACUUAAAAGUCUCCUAUCUGAGUCUGUAAGCUUCCUACCUACUUAAACCGUAAGCUCUAUAGGGCAGGGACCUCCUUCCUCUACCUAAAUGGAGAUCCUUUAAUCAUGAUUAUAAAUAUUAUUUUGAAUUUA